rnacentral:rRNA from 1 species
UCGGAGUGCUUGCACUCUGUGAAACAAGAUACAGGCUAGCGGCGGACGGGUGAGUAACACGUGGGUAACCUGCCCAAGAGAUCGGGAUAACACCUGGAAACAGAUGCUAAUACCGGAUAACAACAGAUGAUGCCUAUCAACUGUUUAAAAGAUGGUUCUGCUAUCACUCUUGGAUGGACCUGCGGUGCAUUAGCUAGUUGGUAGGGUAACGGCCUACCAAGGCGAUGAUGCAUAGCCGAGUUGAGAGACUGAUCGGCCACAUUGGGACUGAGACACGGCCCAAACUCCUACGGGAGGCAGCAGUAGGGAAUCUUCCACAAUGGACGCAAGUCUGAUGGAGCAACGCCGCGUGAGUGAAGAAGGGUUUCGGCUCGUAAAGCUCUGUUGUUGGUGAAGAAGGACAGGGGUAGUAACUGACCUUUGUUUGACGGUAAUCAAUUAGAAAGUCACGGCUAACUACGUGCCAGCAGCCGCGGUAAUACGUAGGUGGCAAGCGUUGUCCGGAUUUAUUGGGCGUAAAGCGAGUGCAGGCGGUUCGAUAAGUCUGAUGUGAAAGCCUUCGGCUCAACCGGAGAAUUGCAUCAGAAACUGUCGAGCUUGAGUACAGAAGAGGAGAGUGGAACUCCAUGUGUAGCGGUGAAAUGCGUAGAUAUAUGGAAGAACACCGGUGGCGAAGGCGGCUCUCUGGUCUGUUACUGACGCUGAGGCUCGAAAGCAUGGGUAGCGAACAGGAUUAGAUACCCUGGUAGUCCAUGCCGUAAACGAUGAGUGCUAAGUGUUGGGAGGUUUCCGCCUCUCAGUGCUGCAGCUAACGCAUUA